rnacentral:sRNA from 1 species
GAAUAGUCUUAGAUUUACAGAAAAAUUGCAAAGGUAAUACAGAGUUCCCAUAUACCCUACACCCAUUUUCCCUGGCAGUUAACAUUUUACACCAAUGAAUGUUGAUGUGUUCUUGCCUCAAGUCCGUGCUUUAUGCAGAUUUCCUUAGCUCCUCCCCACUGUCCUUUUUCUGUCCUGAGAUCCCACAUCACAGUUCAGUUGUUAUGUCUCCUUAGGCUCUUCUAGACAGUUCCUUAGACUUGCCUUGAUUUGAUAAUCUUGACAAUUUCAGGGAGUACCAUUCCCAUAUUUUGUAGAAAGUCCUUCAGUUGGGGUGUGUCCGAUGUUUUUCUCAUGGUUAAUCUAGGGUUAUAGUUAGCAAGGAAGGCCACAGAGGUAAAGUGCCAUUUUUAUCACAUCACAUGAAGGCCACAUACUGUCAACACGACUUACCCCUGCUGAUGUUGAUCUUGACCACCUGGCUGAGGUGUGUCAGGUUUCUCCACCAUGGAGACGCUCUCUUCUCCCCUUGCCCUGCCGCUUUGGGGAGGGAGGUGACUGUGUGCAGUCCAAUUCCAUCGCCCCCUUGAGGGGAGCAUCUACAGAAACUGUUUGGAAUUCUUCUGCAUGGGAGAUUUGUCUCUCUUCUCCCAUUCAUUCGUUUUAUUCAAUCAUUUAUUGAUAUCUGUAUGGACUUGUGGGGGGUUAUUUUGUGCUUUGGGGUCUAAAUCCAUACCAUGUUGUUUUGCUGCUCAAAUUGUUUUAGCUUUGGAGCUAUUUUAGUUGGCUUCUUUGAUGUACUUCCGCCAUUGUGUUUUUCCAGCACUUCCUCACUUUCUGACACUGCAAGAUGCCCCAGGCUCAUUUUGUAUAUUCCCUGCCCUGGCCUAGAAUCUGCCAUUUCUCCAAGGAGCCCUGGUUCCUUUGAUUGGAGAAUAGCAUUAGAAACUACCAUCUGGGCACUGACUUACUUUUUUACAGAAUCACUGGCUGUUGUGUAGAUGGCAGGCUAUAGCAGGGCAAAGUGGAAGUGGGACAGUGGAGAGGUUGCUAGAAUAUAGGCCAAGUGAGCAACAACCAAAGCUCUGGACAGGUGCUGGGGAGCAGCUUCUAACUCAGUUCAGCUGAACAAUUUGAGCCCACACCCAGUUUCCACUGCUCUGGGCCAGGCAUGGGGGAUGGUGGUAACAGCUACCUUUUCUUGAGUGCUUGUUGCAGGCUGGGCAGUGUUUAGUUUUGUUUGUUGUACUGUCUGCCUAUAUGAUUGGUAUAUGUAUCAGAGAGAGAGAGAUUGAUAGAGAAGCCGCUCUAGUUACCAAGAGCCGUGACCCUUGAAGUCUGGGCCCGUGGCAGAUCCCACCUGCCUUAUUGGGAGUAUAGGCUCUCCCACCGUGGGAGGGCCCAGGUCUUACAGGGGCCAGACAGAAUCAGGGAGUGGCCCCGAGGUUGGUUGCUGGCUGUCUCAACAGCCAUUGCUCUCGGGGCCACCCUGUCUAUCCAUAUACCUGUCCACUCCACCAGGUUUUUCUCAUUUCUUGAGUUUCCAGGAGAUCCCCAAGGCUGAGGGUUUCUGGAUUUGGGGACUCGAUGUAUUUCUAUCACAUGCCACAUUCUGGACUUGAGAGGUCUAAGGGUGCCUUGGGGAGGGUGCCCCCAGUCUUCUUGCCAGUCAGCCAGGAGGCAGGGUCUGGAUAGCUGGCCCUGCAACUCAGAGUCUCAGGUUUCUUGUUCCCGGGGCCCUGCUGAUUCGGAUGGGGCAGAAGGCAUGGGGCUGGGCUUCUUCCCUCCCUAGGUCUGCCCACUGCUCGGCUGGCCUUCUCAGCCACAGCAUCUGUCACUGAGAUGUUACAGUGUUUGGAGUGAGGCACAUCCCUGGCCUUAUCUUUUUAAUCCCUGUGCAGUCCUGUGAGGCAGGGACUGGGUUCAUGCCCAUUCUACAUGUAAAAACCCUGAACUGAGAGUAUGGAGUUUCCUGCCCAAUCCCAGGACACCCCGGCAGAGGCAGGAUUCAAAGCCAGGUUUCUCCAACUCCCAGCCACAGUGAACAGUGGUCUGAGUGGCCACAUCCACAUCUUCCCAGUUCCCCACUCCCUCCCUGUGACACCUCUCCUGUCAGCUGUCUCUGCCUCAGCCCAGGAGGUUGGCAUCUCCUUGCACACCUCCUCACACCCUCCCUGGGUACACAGCAUGUCUGGGUACUGGUUCCACGAGUGCCGUGGGACUGCCGCCUGCUUAAAGUUCUCUGGGGCCAAGAGGGCCUGGAGGAUUGUGUGGGGCUAGGGGAGGCUCCUGAUGUAUAUGGGGAACCCCAUCAGAAUCCAGAUCCCUGCCUCUACCUGAGACAGUCCUGAGGCCUCCAAGGAACAGAUGGGCCCUCUGUUGUCUGACCCAUCCAGGACAGGGCCAGAGGUGAGCCCUCUGGCUGGGAGGUCUCUUCACAGCCACCUAGGUCACCAAGCCGAGGGUGAGAGGGUCUCCUCCUGCUGCCUGCACCUGCAGGCCCCCAGCCCCGGGGCCUCUCCCAGAAGGCCAGGGACAAGGCUCCUCAGUGCAAUGAUCUCCUUUUCUCCUAGUCCACAUUCUUGAGUCUGAUGACCUCCACGGCCAGCGAGGCAGCGUCCUAUGAGUUCACCACUCUGACGUGUAUUCCUGGGGUCAUUGAAUACAAAGGUGCCAACAUCCAGCUCCUGGACCUUCCUGGAAUCAUUGAAGGCGCAGCCCAAGGUGGGAGGCAGGGCAGGUGUGUGGGAGGCAGGCUGGAGCUCUGUUACUGAUCGUUGAAAUUGGGUGUGGCUGUCAUGGAGAUCACUCUGGACCCCUGGUCCAUUAUCCCGCUUUCCAGAAAAGACAGGUUCCAGUUCAAAUCCUUGGCACCAAACUAGCCUUGUGAUCUUGGGCAAGUGAUUGGGUAUCUCUAAGCCAAGCCUCAGUUUCCUCAGCUGUAGAAUGGGCAUAAUAAUACUUCAUUUACAGCAUAGUUUUGAGGAUUUAAGUGAGGAAAUGUUCAGGAAGCAUUUAGCCUGGGGCCUGCCACAUGGUAGGGGUGGACGUAGGACAGCCGUUAGUAUCCUGUUACUCCUUUUAUGAUGGUGGUGUUGGAUUUUCUUCUGAAAUAAGUCUCCGUGAGUAAAACAUGUGGAUUAAAGAAAAAUGCCAAGCUUGUGCUAGUAUGUGGCAGAGGCUGUGGUAGGUCUGCAAAGGACAGGAGUCCAGGGCACCAUGGGCUGGGUAGCAGUCACACGGGUCCACGUAUGUAACUGCAUCCCUCCCACCCAUCCAGGAAAAGGCCGUGGCCGGCAGGUGAUCGCUGUGGCGCGCACGGCUGACGUCGUCAUCAUGAUGCUGGAUGCCACCAAGGGAGAGGUGCAGAGGUCCGCAGGGUGGGGCGUGGGGCAGGCUCACAUGUCUGGGGAGGGCCGAUGUGUCCCUGAGCUCGUACUGGGCGGCCUGUGGGUGCUUGGCUCUCUCACACGUGAGAGUAGUGGUAGGACUCGUCACAGACUAAACCCAACACCACCCAGCCUAUGGCGUCUUCUCCUCAAGGCUUGUGUCCAGCCAGCACAGAGGCUUCCUGGGACCGGGGGCCAAGGGGCUUGGCCUGGCUCUGCUUCCUGUUCAGAGGCACAGGUGCCUCAUCACUGCCCAGAACCUGCCAGGAGCCCAGCCCCAAGCACAGGAGCAUUGUUCAUCCACGUCCUGGCAGAGGGGUACACCAGGCCUGCCUCCUCAGGACCAGAAGGAGUACCCUCAUGUGGUCACCUCGUGGGGGCUCCACCACUUGCCUGUGCAUGCCGAGCGUAAACCGGGCCAGUCCCCUCUGGGACUGUGGCAGAGUUUAGAAGCUCCCUGCAGCUCUAGGGCAUUGGGAAGGAGUGUUCUCCGGGUUGCUGGGGAAGGGGGUGGAGGAGAGAGUCAGUCUCUGUCUGGGUGGGCAGUGACGUCCUGCGUAACAGGGAAGCUGUGCAUCUGGCUCUGUGGACAGCCUGUGAGGGGCUUAUGGGGUGCUCUGCCUAGGUCUCUGCUGGAGAAGGAGCUGGAGUCUGUGGGCAUCCGCCUCAACAAGCACAAGCCUAACAUCUACUUCAAGCCCAAGAAAGGCGGUGGCAUCUCCUUUAACUCGACAGUCACGCUGACCCAGUGCUCGGAAAAGCUGGUGCAGCUCAUCCUGCAUGAAUACAAGAUCUUCAACGCGGAAGUACUCUUCCGAGAAGACUGCUCCCCGGAUGAGUUCAUCGAUGUGAUCGUGGGCAACCGGGUGUACAUGCCCUGCCUGUAUGUUUAUAACAAAAUCGACCAGAUCUCCAUGGAAGAGGUGGACCGCCUGGCCCGAAAACCCAACAGUGUGGUCAUCAGCUGCGGCAUGAAGCUGAACCUGGACUAUCUGCUGGAGAUGCUUUGGGAGUACUUGGCCCUGACCUGCAUCUACACCAAGAAGAGAGGACAGAGGCCAGACUUCACAGACGCCAUCAUUCUCCGGAAAGGGGCCUCAGUGGAGCACGUGUGCCACCGCAUCCACCGGUCACUCGCCAGCCAGUUCAAGUACGCCCUGGUGUGGGGCACCAGCACCAAGUACAGUCCGCAGCGGGUGGGCCUGACCCACACCAUGGAGCACGAGGAUGUCAUCCAGAUCGUGAAGAAGUAACGGCGCCUGCUGGGCCUCCCACCCACCUGCCUCGUCUCCCUGGGGAGGUGGUCCCGCUGGGACACACAAACACCCAAACAGAAAAAUACGAAUACACGUACCCCAGGAAGGGGUCCCUCAAGUCUCUGCUAUUUACAGAAGUUUCUUCAGUAGGCAGACGAAGAGUGUGUUGGGGCAGAGGAGCUCAGCUGGAGGUAUUUCCCAUAAGACUGAGCCCUCUCAUGGGGGUUUUGAGUUUGUAGUGCUGAGCCUGCAUCUGUGCCCCGCAGCCCCCUGCACUGAGGGAGCAAGUUGCCCACCUGCCCGCCAGCCAGGGCCUAAAGUAGAUGGCAUGCUCAGUGCCAGGCUGGUAGCUGGGCCUGUUUGGGUCCCUGGAGGCGGUGGCUGCUGUCACGGCACCUCACUCCCUCAGCUCCUGCCAGCUUCUCUGACACUUGGGUUGGGGGCCCUUCCAGGAAGAAACCCCCUUGGGUGCCCCACACAGGGCUCUCCAUGAUGGGAACCAGCGGUUAGUGGCUUCAAAGGCCCAGCUGACACCCUCCACAGCCUAAGGGGUGUCCUAAAGUGCCUCCCCCUGUAUUCCCCCUCCCAGGGCAGCCCCUGCCCAGCACAAAACCCCAGGACCCUGGCUCUGCAUGCCUGGGGCAGGGACUUUUGAGUGCAGGAUCUGUAUUUUCUAAGUCCCCAGUUCUCCUGGCUCUCCUUUCUGAAAUAAAGGAUUGAAAACGGU